rnacentral:rRNA from 1 species
GAUGAACGCUGGCGGCGUGCCUAAUACAUGCCAGUCGAGCGAACGGACGAGAAGCUUGCUUCUCUGAUGUUAGCGGCGGACGGGUGAGUAACACGUGGAUAACCUACCUAUAAGACUGGGAUAACUUCGGGAAACCGGAGCUAAUACCGGAUAAUAUUUUGAACCGCAUGGUUCAAAAGUGAAAGACGGUCUUGCUGUCACUUAUAGAUGGAUCCGCGCUGCAUUAGCUAGUUGGUAAGGUAACGGCUUACCAAGGCAACGAUGCAUAGCCGACCUGAGAGGAUGAUCGGCCACACUGGAACUGAGACACGGUCCAGACUCCUACGGGAGGCAGCAGUAGGGAAUCUUCCGCAAUGGGCGAAAGCCUGACGGAGCAACGCCGCGUGAGUGAUGAAGGUCUUCGGAUCGUAAAACUCUGUUAUUAGGGAAGAACAUAUGUGUAAGUAACUGUGCACAUCUUGACGGUACCUAAUCAGAAAGCCACGGCUAACUACGUG